rnacentral:rRNA from 1 species
CCUACGGGAGGCAGCAGUGAGGAAUAUUGGUCAAUGGCCGGAAGUCUGAACCAGCCAUGCCGCGUGAAGGUCAGUGCCCUAUGGGCGUUAAACUUCUUUUUUUCGGGAGCAAUACUGGUCACGUUUGGCCAUCCUAGAUUACCUUACUAAUAAGCAUCGGCUAACUCCGUGCCAGCAGCCGCGGUAAUACGUAGGGGGCAAGCGUUAUCCGGAUUUACUGGGUGUAAAGGGAGCGUAGACGGUUAUGCAAGUCUGAAGUGAAAGCCCAAGGCUCAACCAUGGGACUGCUUUGGAAACUGUAAGACUGGAGUGCAGGAGAGGUAGGCGGAAGUCCUAGUGUAGCGGUGAAAUGCGUAGAUAUUAGGAGGAACACCAGUGGCGAAGGCAGCUUACUGGACUGUAACUGACGUUGAGGCUCGAAGGCGUGGGGAGCAAACAGGAUUAGAUACCCGGGUAGUC